AACGAACGCUGGCGGCAUGCCUAACACAUGCAAGUCGAACGAGAUCUUCGGAUCUAGUGGCGCACGGGUGCGUAACGCGUGGGAAUCUGCCCCUUGCUUCGGAAUAACAGUGAGAAAUUACUGCUAAUACCGGAUGAUGUCUUCGGACCAAAGAUUUAUCGGCAAGGGAUGAGCCCGCGUAGGAUUAGGUAGUUGGUGGGGUAAUGGCCUACCAAGCCGACGAUCCUUAGCUGGUCUGAGAGGAUGAUCAGCCACACUGGGACUGAGACACGGCCCAGACUCCUACGGGAGGCAGCAGUGGGGAAUAUUGGACAAUGGGCGAGAGCCUGAUCCAGCAAUGCCGCGUGAGUGAUGAAGGCCUUAGGGUUGUAAAGCUCUUUUACCAGGGAUGAUAAUGACAGUACCUGGAGAAUAAGCUCCGGCUAACUCCGUG
rnacentral:rRNA from 1 species